rnacentral:rRNA from 1 species
AGUAACUGCGAGUGAAGAGGGAAGAGCUCAUCAUUGGAAUCUGGCGGUGUCUUGCACCGUCCGAGUUGUAGAUGAGAUGAGUAGGCCAUCUGGACUGCAUGAUAUCCAAGUACAAUAGGCCGUCAGUGGGACAUCAUAGAGGGUGACAAUCCCGUCUUUGAUAUCAAUGUACGAGUCCUAUACGAUGCCUAUCUCUACAGAGUCGAGUAGUUUGGGAUUUGCUGCUCUAAUGUGGGAGGUAGAUUCCUUCUAAAGCUAAAUAUUGGCAAGAGACCGAUAGAGAACAAGUACCGCAAGGGAAAGAUGAAAUAGAACUCUGUAAAGGGAGUCAAAAGUCGUGAAAUUGUUGCGAGAGAAGCGAUUCAAGUCAGCUUUAGCUAGGCCCAUCAAGCUACCAUACUUUGGACUAGCUUUGCCAGCAGUCUUAUCCUUUAGCGGUUUGACUCCUCCCAGGUUUUCAUCCUGUGUGCUGGUGGAAUGGCUUGCAAUCGACCCGUCUUGAAACACGGACCAAGGAGUCUAACAUGUAUGCGAGUAUAAGGGUGACAAACCCGUAUGCGCAAUGAAAGUAACUUUCGGUGAUUGCUGAAUGACCUGACGACCAUGCACG